ensembl:lncRNA
ACACACACACACACACACACACCAGAACGGGAAGAAGCAUGUAUCCUGAAACGGCCCUCUACGUAGCCAACUACAUACUCAGCACACUGCGGUAAAUACCUACCUUGUGGGGACCAGAGCUACACGUGUCCGAGAGAGCACUGCGUUAAACACCUACCUUGUGGGGACCAGAGCUAUACGUGUCCGAGAGAGCGCUACGGUAAAUAUCUACCUUGUGGGGACCAGAGCUAUACGUGUCCGAGAGAGCACUGCAGUAAAUACCUACCUCGUGGGGACCAGAGCUAUACGUGUCCGAGAGAGCGCUACGGUAAAUACCUACCUCAUGGGGACCAGAGCUAUACGUGUCCGAGAGAGCACUG